ensembl:rRNA 5S_rRNA 5S ribosomal RNA
GCUUAUGGCCACACCGCCUGGUUCACGGCUGAUCUCGCUUUGAUCUCGGGAAGCUAAGAUAGGUUGGGCCUGGUUAGUACUUUGAUGGGAGACCGCCUGGGAAUACCAGGUGCUGUAACUU